rnacentral:rRNA from 1 species
CAAUAGCGUAUAUUAAAGUUGUUGCAGUUAAAAAGCUCGUAGUUGGAUUUGUGGCUGUCGCGUGCGGCCUGACACUUUGUGUUAGUGUUUGCUUGCGUCGCCAUCCUUGGGUGGAACCUGUGUGGCAUUAGGUUGUCGUGCAGGGGAUGCCCAUCGUUUACUGUGAAAAAAUUAGAGUGUUCAAAGCAGGCUUAUGCCGUUGAAUAUAUUAGCAUGGAAUAAUAAGAUAGGACCUUGGUACUAUUUUGUUGGUUUGCGCACCAAGGUAAUGAUUAAUAGGGACAGUUGGGGGUAGUUCGUAUUCCAUUGUUCAGAAGGUGGAAAUUACUUGGAUUUUGGUAAGACGAACUAACUGCGAAAGUAAUUUACCUAA